GGUGAGUAACGCGUAUCCAACCUUCCCAUAACUACGGGAUAACCCGUUGAAAGACGGCCUAAUACCGUAUGAUAUCGUUUGCUGACAUCAAAUAACGAUUAAAGGUUUAGCGGUUAUGGAUGGGGAUGCGUCUGAUUAGCUUGUUGGCGGGGUAACGGCCCACCAAGGCGACGAUCAGUAGGGGUUCUGAGAGGAAGGUCCCCCACAUUGGAACUGAGACACGGUCCAA
rnacentral:rRNA from 1 species